CACGUAGGGCGCGAGCGUUGUCCGGAAUUAUUGGGCGUAAAGAGCUCGUAGGCGGCCUGUUGCGUCCGCUGUGAAAGCCCGGGGCUUAACCCCGGGUCGGCAGUGGAUACGGGCAGACUAGAGGUAGGUAGGGGAGAAUGGAAUUCCCGGUGUAGCGGUGAAAUGCGCAGAUAUCGGGAGGAACACCGGUGGCGAAGGCGGUUCUCUGGGCCUUACCUGACACUGAGGAGCGAAAGCGUGGGGAGCGAACAGG
rnacentral:rRNA from 1 species